GAGGGAUCGGGGUCGGCCAGCGGAAACGAGAAGCUGAAGGCAAGGGUUGUAAUGAAGAAUAAUGUAGAGAGAAUCUGGAAGAAAUAAAACAGAGAGUCUUCCGUCCGGUUCAGAGUAUUUCGUGUGUUUGUUGGGCGAAAUUUUUCCCAAAUAGAUUAUAUAGUAUUUGGGUGACCGCACGAAUGCCAAGGACUUUGUCUAGUACAAAUGUUAUGAAAUAUACGUCCGACGACAAAAAUUAUAAUUCCAUCAACACCAUACAUUAGUCAGGGACUUGACGAUGUAACUUCGCGAAAUAGCGUAACAUCCGAACAUAAUUUAUGUUAAUUGCAGCACUAAUUAUCACCUUAGAACUUAAAUUUGUAGGUAACAUCAUCUGAUAAGGGCUUUUAUCCGUGAUGAGUCAUUGUCGUUUUGACUUUCGGGUUUUCCUUACUACCUUUGAAGGGGAAAUGGGGAAAAUCGUUUAUUUCAAGGGUCAUUUAGACCAGGAUUUGAGUUUAUUACUAUAAUGUGCCUGGAUGAAGACAUCGUUUAUGGUCGUAACAAUGACGACAUAAUUUCGCUGCGUCGCACACCUGUGGAUGUUUAAAGAAUUUCAACUAGAAUCCGUUAACAGUUAUCUUGAAUUUAUCACUCAUGAGUGUGUAAAGUGUGUAACGCAAUAUUUAUAGAACGAUGUUUAGUAUUCUAGAAUAAUUGUCAGAUUUAUUGUUCUUUAUUCGCAGUGUAUAAAAUUUGAAAUUAUAGUAGUGUUAAAACAA